UCCUGGCUCAGAUUGAACGCUGGCGGCAGGCUUAACACAUGCAAGUCGAGCGGAAACGAUGGUAGCUUGCUACCAGGCGUCGAGCGGCGGACGGGUGAGUAACACUUAGGAAUCUACCUAGUAGUGGGGGAUAGCUCGGGGAAACUCGAAUUAAUACCGCAUACGACCUACGGGAGAAAGAGGGCAGUUUACUGCUCUCGCUAUUAGAUGAGCCUAAGUCGGAUUAGCUAGAUGGUGGGGUAAAGGCCUACCAUGGCGACGAUCUGUAGCUGGUCUGAGAGGAUGAUCAGCCACACCGGGACUGAGACACGGCCCGGACUCCUACGGGAGGCAGCAGUGGGGAAUAUUGGACAAUGGGCGAAAGCCUGAUCCAGCCAUGCCGCGUGUGUGAAGAAGGCCUUUUGGUUGUAAAGCACUUUAAGCAGUGAAGAAGACUCUGUGGUUAAUACCCAUGGACGAUGACAUUAGCUGCAGAAUAAGCACCGGCUAACUCUGUGCCAGCAGCCGCGGUAAUACAGAGGGUGCAAGCGUUAAUCGGAAUUACUG
rnacentral:rRNA from 1 species